UUCCCCCACUGCCUCUAUCGUUAUGACACUCUUCCUUUCCAGCAUUUUCUUUAUGUCUCAAUAGCCAGAGUCAGCCCUCAUCUCCUCAUUUCCCUUUGUUCCUGCCCAGAGGAAUCACAUAGACUGAAGAAAAGGAAACUCUCAGAGAAAAAUAAAAAGGUCACCAGAGCUAACAAAUGGGAGAACUGGGAUGUUAAGCCAAGAUCUGUCUGCCUCCGGACCCCAGCUUCAGAAAAGAGAUGAGCUUCAGAGACAUUGGAAAAGAACUCUGCUUGAGAAAGAAGAUCGUCCACCAGCAGGAAGACAAGCAUAGACAGUGGGCUACAGAAAAAAGUGUCUGUUCUGAGGAACAAUAGAAUGAACUGAAUGGAUAAAACAAGUUUUAUGGACAACUCAGACGUCAGGUUUUCAUAUGAGAAUGGAGUUAAUAAUGGGACUUGGAUUCAAUACUCUAUUGAGGUAUGAUGUGUUUUUUCCUGUACUGACGGGGUUCAAACCAUGCUACUCCAAAAUAUGGCACCUUGGCAUUUGAGGAAACAGCAGAAUCAGGAAGACUGCUUUCACUUUCUCCUUGCCUUUCUUCCCUGAAGCAAUUCAUAAGACCUACAUUUGAGAGGUGCCAUUCCUAUACCCAGAGGAAAGGAAUAUCUUUAUCUUUGAAGACAUAGGUACACGGAGAAGAAUCUACAAAAGCAAGACUAGCUAACCCCCACCCCCAACCUGUUAGUUAUUGUCUAAUCAUAUUUCUUCAUGACCAUUCACUUUUUAAAAUCAAAAAUAACAUAAAAAAUAUACAGGUUUACUUACUUCUUUAGGUUCUCAUUUCCUUACAAAGGCUUCUGUGUCACAUAAAGCUUAUAUUAAAUAAAUUUUUAUGCUUUUGUCUUGUUAAUCUGUAUUUUAUUAUAGGGGCAUCAGCCAUGCAUCUUGCAAUGAAUGAGAAAAAAAUCUUUCCUCCACUAUGGUUCUCAUUUACGACUGUCUGAUACAUAGUAAAUGCUCACUAAGUCACUUUCUUAUUCUGCCACAAGUGAUUAGACAGUCAUGUGAUAAGGUGGAAAUAUUAUAUCUUCGUUGUUUAAGGGUAUGAAUUAAUACCAGGGGGCAGAAGGGGACCAUUUCCUAGAUGCUUUUCCCAUUGAUAUUCUAGUCAGGUCAGCUACCCUGCUAAAAUGUCUUAAAUUCCCCCUUUUUAUCUUUCUCUUGUCACUUAUUUCAGGUCUUCAGCAUCUGUCUCUUGUACUUCGGCAUUCUCUCUGCCCAUUGGUAUCAUUUUCCAUUCAUACUCCUGUUACUAAAUUGGCUCUAAACAUGUACAGUAUGCACAGACAGACAUUUGAUUGUGGUACUCCUCCACUUAAAAUUCUUUUAUAUUCCCAACUAACAAUCGAAUUUCCUUUAAACCAAGGGCACCAGGAAGAGGUAAAAGGGAGCUAACCAAAGCGGUCUUUUGAGCCUCUCACUGCCACUCAACUCUAACAAUUCUGCUUUGCAUAUUUUAUAUAUUAGGCCCAGCUAAAAUUACAUUUAAAGAGAAAGCAUUAGUCAACAAUCACCUUAAUAAUGCUAUGUAAUAAGCAUCUUUCAAAGUCUUACAAUGACAAACAUUUUCUUUGUUCAUAGGUUUUAGGAUUUGCUGAGGUGGUUUUGUGACAGGUAGUUCAGAUUUUCUUCACAUGUUUUUUGGUAUGAGUGGCCUUUUGUGACUUGCUGUCCCUAUGAAGCAUGCAGAUGUCCUAGAGACAGAUCAAAUAAUACAAGUACAUUUCAAAGUUUGCUCAUAUCCUAUCUGUCCAAAUGACAUUGGCCUAUGACAAUCAGUCAAGAAGCAUACUAAACCCAUAGUGAAACCAUGGCAAGGGCACAGAGGUCAUGGGAGAUCAUGAAUAAAUAAUACUAUCUGCUCCAUAAAGCGUCUGCUGUUCUAAACAAAAUUUUAAAACAGUUGAUCUGCCAAGUAAAUAGAAAACCUCAAGGGAAGAGUAAAAACCUUCAUGACUUCUUAUUUACCUUUCAGUUUAUUUCAGGACACUCACUGCUAUAUCUUAGUAUCUUGCAGCAAAAGAAUCCUAACAGCUUCCUCUGCAUAUAUCUUUUCUCCUGUUUUGAAUGCUCUACCUCCUCUGCCUGGGAAACUAAUUCUCAUCCUUGGUUACCUAGCUGAUGGUUAAUUGUGCUAUUCCCAAAUAAACAUUUUAUUGCUGACAUGAACAAAUACUCUCAAUCUUGAAAUCAAAUGACUCACAUAUAGGCUUAGAUCCAUUUAGUUCAUCCAAGCAAAAACAAAUCCCAUUAAAGCAAAGUCUGUAAGGGAAUGCUGCUGAGACUGGUUUUGCCCACCCCUGUUCAAGAAUGUUGAUUAAAAUAGGCUAGAUUUGUUUAUCCGAGGCUUUAACGUAUAAUAUUUUUAAAAAGAAGUGUAUCAUACAAUGGCAUUCAUGUUGACUCUGCUACCAUAAUUUACGUAGAACAGAAAAUAAGUGACAUUCAGUAAAACUUUUAUAUUACUUUUUAUCAUUAGGGAAUAAUUAAAAGACUAAGUUGUUCUGGGGUUCACAUUGCACUCUUUUUGUCUUUUCCAUGUUCUUCUAGCACUUUAACAUGCAUCCUUUACAGUUCUUUCAGCCAUGCUCUGCUACUUUGGAAUGUAACUCUAUUACUUUCUUGUAUAAGAAAUCUUGAUAUUAAUUGUCUAGUUGGAUCUACUCCUUAGGGUGUGUACUGUAAUCAUGUCUUUCGACCAUUUUAUUCAUGCAGUCAAGAAAGGACAUUUUAUUUUACUGCCUUUGGAAAGGGCAGUAUUUUGGGGCAAAAGCUGAAUAUAGUUCUUCAUGGAACUGAAAUGUGAGUACAAAAAUACUAGUGAAGUAAAUAUUGCCUUGGCAGCUCAGGCUUAUCUAGUUUAACCAUGUUAUGUUCAUUGUAUUGUAGAUUACAUAUACAUUCCAAAAACAGGAAAUUCAAUUUGUGCUUGCAAAGAACAUCUCAAAGUAGAUGGAGGAAGAGCAAGAGCGAAGGGGGCUGGUUUACUAGUAUACCAGAGCCAGGACUUGGACUUUUGUGCUGCAGUUAGUUGACUGUAGGUAACUGAAACCUACGCUGGAGAAACUGCAGAUUUGGGUCUGGAUUACAGAAGUCACUUGAUUUCACCUGGAUCUGUUACUUCAUGAGUGUAAAGAUAAAGCUGGAUUAUGACUUCUGAAGGUGUUUUUGUUCAACACUUGAGAUGAAUGAUAUUUGAAGAGCACAUAAAAGGAGUCGUGCUUAAUCUUGGGAGAUGUGGAUUAAGAAACCUGGGUCAGAAAGCCGAAGUAGAGUACAUAUGGUAUGAGCACAAAAUGUGCAGGUUGUAGAAAUUAUGGUAAAAUCUCUGCCACAUAAAAGAAAGAGAAAUCUGCGAUUCAAUCCCAAUCUUGCAUCUAGCCAGUGGUGUACUGGAAUUUUCAGGCACAAGUUCCUUCAUCAGUGAAAUGAGAAGAAAGGAAAACACAAUCUCUAAGUUCUCAGAGCUGCACCAUUCUGGAAACUACACACUUUUGCUCUUCCAUAAGAGCAAAGCCUAGCCAGUAUCCUACCCUAUUGGGCUAGACACCCUAGGGAAGCAGGUGAGCAAGAUUUGAUAUGAUUUCUUAAACAGUAGUGGCAACCUGAUGUGAGCUUUGGUUGUUCCUUUAUUUUCCUGAGCUUAAAUAGAUCAUUGUUUACUUAAAUUCCUUAUUCAACCUAAACUUCCCUUCAUAAAAUGUCACCAGAGCCUCAUCCCUAUGUUAACUCUGGCCAUUAUCUUGUUGAUCAUCAUCUCUACCUUCUUUU
rnacentral:lncRNA from 10 species